AAGAUGGCGGCUGGAGACUAGCGCUGGAGAGGGGGAGCCUUCCAUAUCCGGCCACUUCUCUCCACAGCCGCCAUUUUGGCAGAAGCCUAAGCCUUGCUCAUCCCUUACUUAGGCUACAUUUUCAAAAGUCAGAAAAAACUUUUUCCUGAAGAAGGGGUUUCUGAGACAAGUAGGUCAAAGAAAGGCCAGCGUGUGGGAGUGUGUGUGUGUGUGUGUGUGUGUGUGUGUGUCCUUGAGUAAAAUUGCAAGCCAAAGAGGAAGGCAGCAGUAUGUAUUCUCUGUAGGACCCCUAUUUGUGACCAAUUGUAAGAUCAUCUGAAGAUCGAGUCCGAUUGCCUGGCCAGGCCGGGCUGGGUGGUAUGUGCCCCCGUCACGCCGGAGGUUCCUGCUUUAGCGACGCCAAAGAUUGGGUGUGAGGGCAGCCCGCGGUGACAGAGACACGGAUCGGACCGAGAGAAAAAGGCUGUGGGCUUCACUGAGCAGAGUGACGUCAAUUCACAGGACCUCCACAGUGUGCCUUUUGCUGGGUAGGAAAAUGCCAGCCAGCUUGGAAAACAAGAAGACACAUUUAUGUCUACCAUGAGCAUUGGCAUCAGCCAAUUAUCCCACACGUUUUCGGCUAGUCAGUGCUGAAGAGAGCAAGAAUUUCAACCCUUCUUGCUACAUUCAAGACAUAGAAAUCCAGCCAGAAGACAACUCGAGAUAUUUUGUGGAUCUAUGCCUUUCCUUCAGAAAAGCAAAUAUCUACCAUAAAAAAACACUGGUCCAAUAUUCACUUCUAUAAGAAAUGCAGGGGCAAAUAAAUUAUGGAUUUUAUUAUCGCUAAUAGAGUCACUUAACCAUUACUCCUUACUACAUUCUGCUUUUCUAACAAAAUUUCGACUGAAUAUUCUCCCUCAGAGCCUCCAAAAGGAACCAACUGAUGACAACUGAUUUUGGACUUCUGGCCUCCUGAACUAUAACAAAAUAAACAUCUGUUGU
rnacentral:lncRNA from 1 species